UACCUGCACCCCGAGUGGUCUGGACGAUUAUUGGGCCUAAAGCAUCCGUAGCCGGUUCUACAAGUCUUCCGUUAAAUCCACCUGCUUAACAGAUGGGCUGCGGAGGAUACUAUGGAGCUAGGAGGCGGGAGAGGCAAGCGGUACUUAGUGGGUAGGGGUAAAAUCCGUUGAUCCAUUGAAGACCACCAGUGGCGAAGGCGGCUUGCCAGAACGCACUCGACGGUGAGGGAUGAAAGCUGGGGGAGCAAACCGG
rnacentral:rRNA from 1 species